UUACAUUGAAGCCUAGCGAUGUGUAAGUUAGUGGCGGACGGGUGAGUAACGCGUGGGUAACCUGCCUUGUACUGGGGGACAACAGUUGGAAACGACUGCUAAUACCGCAUAAGCGCACAGUACCGCAUGGUACAGUGUGAAAAACUCCGGUGGUGUGAGAUGGACCCGCGUCUGAUUAGCUGGUUGGUGAGGUAACGGCCCACCAAGGCGACGAUCAGUAGCCGGCCUGAGAGGGUGAACGGCCACAUUGGGACUGAGACACGGCCCAGACUCC
rnacentral:rRNA from 1 species